AGAGUUUGAUCCUGGCUCAGGACGAACGCUGGCGGCGUGCCUAAUACAUGCAAGUAGAACGCUGAAGGAGGAGCUUGCUUCUCUGGAUGAGUUGCGAACGGGUGAGUAACGCGUAGGUAACCUGCCUGGUAGCGGGGGAUAACUAUUGGAAACGAUAGCUAAUACCGCAUAAGAGUGGAUGUUGCAUGACAUUUGCUUAAAAGGUGCACUUGCAUCACUACCAGAUGGACCUGCGUUGUAUUAGCUAGUUGGUGGGGUAACGGCUCACCAAGGCGACGAUACAUAGCCGACCUGAGAGGGUGAUCGGCCACACUGGGACUGAGACACGGCCCAGACUCCUACGGGAGGCAGCAGUAGGGAAUCUUCGGCAAUGGACGGAAGUCUGACCGAGCAACGCCGCGUGAGUGAAGAAGGUUUUCGGAUCGUAAAGCUCUGUUGUAAGAGAAGAACGAGUGUGAGAGUGGAAAGUUCACACUGUGACGGUAUCUUACCAGAAAGGGACGGCUAACUACGUGCCAGCAGCCGCGGUAAUACGUAGGUCCCGAGCGUUGUCCGGAUUUAUUGGGCGUAAAGCGAGCGCAGGCGGUUAGAUAAGUCUGAAGUUAAAGGCUGUGGCUUAACCAUAGUAGGCUUUGGAAACUGUUUAACUUGAGUGCAAGAGGGGAGAGUGGAAUUCCAUGUGUAGCGGUGAAAUGCGUAGAUAUAUGGAGGAACACCGGUGGCGAAAGCGGCUCUCUGGCUUGUAACUGACGCUGAGGCUCGAAAGCGUGGGGAGCAAACAGGAUUAGAUACCCUGGUAGUCCACGCUGUAAACGAUGAGUGCUAGGUGUUAGACCCUUUCCGGGGUUUAGUGCCGUAGCUAACGCAUUAAGCACUCCGCCUGGGGAGUACGACCGCAAGGUUGAAACUCAAAGGAAUUGACGGGGGCCCGCACAAGCGGUGGAGCAUGUGGUUUAAUUNCAGUUUUUGUUUAGUGAUUGGGGUAAGAUAGUUGUUAUCAGAUGAGUUUAUACUCUUCGAAAAUCAAAUUCAAACCACGUCAACGUCGCCUUGCCGUAUAUAGGUGACUGACUUCGUCAGUCCUAUCUACAACCUCAAAACAGUGUUUUGAGCAGCCUGCGGCUAGUUUCCUAGUUUGCUCUUUGAUUUUCAUUGAGUAUUAGGGAAAAGGAGAUGAAUAUGAAAUUUGGGAAACGUCACUAUCGUCCGCAAGUGGAUCAGAUGGACUGCGGUGUAGCUUCAUUAGCCAUGGUUUUUGGCUACUAUGGUAGUUAUUAUUU
rnacentral:rRNA from 1 species